UGGAGUUGGUGUCCGGUAUCCCAGCUGGUACUAGUGUGAGAUUGGAGCUUGAUAUUUAUCCUGAGCAUCUUCAGUUUCUGGAGUUGAACUUCACUUCAGGGGAAACCACAGUGACUGUUCGCACCAAGAAGCCGCUCGACGCCGAGGCCAAUAUAUUCUUUACGCCUGAGAGAAUUUUGCACUACAGCUUAGUGUGCAAUAAUGAUGUGACAUACAAAAACUCCCGCAGGUUGAUAAUCAAUGAUAUAAAUGACAACAGUCCAGUAUUUGAGAAGAAGUUUUAUUCUCAAAAUAUUUCAGAGAAUCAUGUUGUCAACACUGAGGUUCUGCAAGUGAGAGCCGUGGAUGCAGACAGCACACCUGAAUUCAACCUCUUCACAUAUUCCUAU